rnacentral:rRNA from 1 species
GGGUUGUGAGGUUAAGCGACUAAGCGUACACGGUGGAUGCCCUGGCAGUCAGAGGCGAUGAAGGGCGUGCUAAUCUGCGAUAAGCGCCGGUAAGGUGAUAUGAACCGUUAUAACCGGCGAUACCCGAAUGGGGAAACCCAGUGUGACUCGUCACACUAUCAUUAACUGAAUCCAUAGGUUAAUGAGGCGAACCGGGGGAACUGAAACAUCUAAGUACCCCGAGGAAAAGAAAUCAACCGAGAUUCCCCCAGUAGCGGCGAGCGAACGGGGAGGAGCCCAGAGCCUGAAUCAGCAUGUGUGUUAGUGGAAGCGUCUGGAAAGGCGCGCGAUACAGGGUGACAGCCCCGUACACAAAAGCGCAUGUGCUGUGAGCUCGAUGAGUAGGGCGGGACACGUGGUAUCCUGUCUGAAUAUGGGGGGACCAUCCUCCAAGGCUAAAUACUCCUGACUGACCGAUAGUGAACCAGUACCGUGAGGGAAAGGCGAAAAGAACCCCGGCGAGGGGAGUGAAAAAGAACCUGAAACCGUGUACGUACAAGCAGUGGGAGCCCCACCACCAAAGCAUUCUCUGGUGUUGAAGGCCCUGCAAAGCAGCAUCGCGGUGGCGGAGCGUCGUUUGCGACGCCCAACACACAAAACAAGCGGUGAGUGCUUUGGGGUGGGGUGACUGCGUACCUUUUGUAUAAUGGGUCAGCGACUUAUAUUCUGUAGCAAGGUUAACCGAAUAGGGGAGCCGGAGGGAAACCGAGUCUUAAUUGGGCGUUAAGUUGCAGGGUAUAGACCCGAAACCCGGUGAUCUAGCCAUGGGCAGGUUGAAGGUUGGGUAACACUAACUGGAGGACCGAACCGACUAAUGUUGAAAAAUUAGCGGAUGACCUGUGGCUGGGGGUGAAAGGCCAAUCAAACCGGGAGAUAGCUGGUUCUCCCCGAAAGCUAUUUAGGUAGCGCCUCGUGAAUUCAUCUCCGGGGGUAGAGCACUGUUUCGGCUAGGGGGCCAUCCCGGCUUACCAACCCGAUGCAAACUGCGAAUACCGGAGAAUGUUAUCACGGGAGACACACGGCGGGUGCUAACGUCCGUCGUGAAGAGGGAAACAACCCAGACCGCCAGCUAAGGUCCCAAAGUCAUGGUUAAGUGGGAAACGAUGUGGGAAGGCCCAGACAGCCAGGAUGUUGGCUUAGAAGCAGCCAUCAUUUAAAGAAAGCGUAAUAGCUCACUGGUCGAGUCGGCCUGCGCGGAAGAUGUAACGGGGCUAAACCAUGCACCGAAGCUGCGGCAGCGACGCUGAUGCGUUGUUGGGUAGGGGAGCGUUCUGUAAGCCUGCGAAGGUGGCCUGUGAGGGUUGCUGGAGGUAUCAGAAGUGCGAAUGCUGACAUAAGUAACGAUAAAGCGGGUGAAAAGCCCGCUCGCCGGAAGACCAAGGGUUCCUGUCCAACGUUAAUCGGGGCAGGGUGAGUCGACCCCUAAGGCGAGGCCGAAAGGCGUAGUCGAUGGGAAACGGGUUAAUAUUCCCGUACUUGGUGUUACUGCGAAGGGGGGACGGAGAAGGCUAUGUUGGCCGGGCGACGGUUGUCCCGGUUUAAGCGUGUAGGUGUGUGUUCCAGGUAAAUCCGGUUCACUUUAACACUGAGGCGUGAUGACGAGGCACUACGGUGCUGAAGCAACAAAUGCCCUGCUUCCAGGAAAAGCCUCUAAGCAUCAGGUAACAUCAAAUCGUACCCCAAACCGACACAGGUGGUCAGGUAGAGAAUACCAAGGCGCUUGAGAGAACUCGGGUGAAGGAACUAGGCAAAAUGGUGCCGUAACUUCGGGAGAAGGCACGCUGACACGUAGGUGAAGUGAUUUACUCAUGGAGCUGAAGUCAGUCGAAGAUACCAGCUGGCUGCAACUGUUUAUUAAAAACACAGCACUGUGCAAACACGAAAGUGGACGUAUACGGUGUGACGCCUGCCCGGUGCCGGAAGGUUAAUUGAUGGGGUCAGCGCAAGCGAAGCUCCUGAUCGAAGCCCCGGUAAACGGCGGCCGUAACUAUAACGGUCCUAAGGUAGCGAAAUUCCUUGUCGGGUAAGUUCCGACCUGCACGAAUGGCGUAAUGAUGGCCAGGCUGUCUCCACCCGAGACUCAGUGAAAUUGAACUCGCUGUGAAGAUGCAGUGUACCCGCGGCAAGACGGAAAGACCCCGUGAACCUUUACUAUAGCUUGACACUGAACAUUGAGCCUUGAUGUGUAG